UAUGUGCUGGUGUGUGUGAGAGAGUAACUGUGUGUGGAGGGCAAGGAGCUAGGGACAGCUAGAUGGAGAAGAAAGAGAAACAUACAGUCGGUGCGAGUGUGACUAAACUGACUGCAGCAGAAUGACUCACCCUGUUGCUAUAGCAACCUAAAGACAAGCUCUCCUCUAAUGUGCUAUUUUGACUGCUGGUGGCUGCCAGCUAACGGGAGAAAAUCACUGCAGUAUGAAACCCAGCGGCUCCUUCUUCUCCACUCUGCUGGACUGAUGUGUGUGGGUGUUAAGCUCCAAUGCCCUUGUUGAAGGACCACUGCCACUGAAUGACCUCCCGACUGUUGCCAGGGCACAGACACAGCACUGUCCAGUUACCUAGUGUGCGCAACGAUGGCCCAAGUGUCCCGGCGGAGGGCGAAUAUUGGACACAGCUCUCACCUCCUGUGCAAUGGACUGUAACCCAUCCGUCUGAUUUCUUUGUUGCUGCAGCCACUCCUGAUCAAUGUCAUCAUAACAAUCUGGAUGCCUGCAGAGUUCUACUGAGGUGUUUUAUGGUCUGAGCUGAUUUGAGGAGUACGGCGGGGAUUGUCAGACAUCUGAUGAAGAUUCUCCAUUUAAGAAAAAAGAGACAAAUAUUAUUUUUAAGGUCAUGACGAACAACUUACUAAAACACUUUUCAAAUAAUGAAAUCACAAUUUUUUUCAUUCUAUAUUCAAUGAGACACACGAGACAAAUUCAUUUUGAACUAAUUAAAUGUGUCCAAUAUUAGAAAUGCGCUGAGAUUUUAUUAAGGGAAAGUUUUUCCUUUUAUCUUCUGCGGAUAUCUUGUCAUCUUUAUUUACCUGGCAGAUCUUCUGUUUUUUUCUCACACUAUGUAAAGUGUUCCUUUUCUUACAUUGCUGUGUCUCAGUGAAUUAAAUGACCUUGUAUUCCCGCUUUGCUUGCAUUGUGGGACUUUUACUGGCA